UACGGAGGGCGCAAGCGUUGUUCGGAAUUACUGGGCGUAAAGCGCGUGUAGGCGGCCAGGCAAGUCGGAUGUGAAAGCCCGGGGCCCAACACCGGAACUGCACCCGAUACUGCCUGGCUGGAGUCCCGGAGUGGAUGGCGGAAUUUCCGGUGUAGAGGUGAAAUUCGUAGAUAUCGGGAGGAACACCAGUGGCGAAGGCGGGCAUCUGGACGGGGACUGACGCUGAGACACGAAAGCUUGGGGAGCAAACAUG
rnacentral:rRNA from 1 species